rnacentral:lncRNA from 1 species
CACUUUUCGGCGUUAAAAUGAGGGCGUCAGCCUUUGAGGCUCAACUCGGCGGCUGGGGCUGGGCGGAAUCAAGGAUUCCUCUCGGGAUUAAGCAGCCGGGUCGGCACGCGAGGCGGAAGCCCGGUCCAUUGGGACAUUCAUCACUGAAGAACUACAUCAUCAUUUUUAACAGCUGCACAGUCCUCUUGUUUGAUAAGUCAAUUUAUUUCAUUUUGGUAUUUCCAAUUUUUAAACAUUAUAAACAAGACUGUGAUGAACACUAAGUAUAUGUGCUAAUAAGAAAGAACUUUCCCAGAAGCUUCUGGCAGCCUUCUCUUGGAGUAUGUUUGGUCAAAAUUGGGUCAUAGGCUCAUUCCUGAUUUAAAUCACUGGAAAGGGAAAGUGGUCAAGAGAAUUGACCUAAUCUGAGCUCAUCCCUGGAGUUGGAAUGAUUCACGUGUGCUUAGGGGUGGAAGGAGGGGAGAGAAGGGUGGUAAGGUCUGGAUUCCUGAAAAAAAAGGAAAAAGGGGGAUCAGGUGUCCACCACUAGUAGUUUUGAACCUUUCAAGGUAUUUAAAACAUGAUGAAUGUAUUAAUUUUUUCACCCUAAAAGCAGUGUUUAAGAGUGCUAGUUGUGAAGCAGGGCUACUAUAAUUUUUUUUUCAUCUGUUUGAUAGAUCUGAUAAUAAUGUUUGAUUUUUUUUUAUCAGUAGUUCAUAAGAAACUAUCUUUAGGAUGAUUCACAACUCUUUAAUAACACUAAAAUAUUCUAUUAAUAGAGAUAUAACAAAAUGACAGGAAAAUUGCUCUAAUUUGAUUCAUAUAAAUUCCAUAGCCACCUAAAAUUAUAGGUUCAUCUCUAUAAAUGCAGAACAAAAUCACUCCUGCCAAUCACUUAUCAAGACAAAUGUUAGACUCUUAGAUGCUUCAUUAGAAUCAUGGAAAUCUCAGAAAUAAGCAGUAAUUUCAUUAAACAAGUUCUUUAAAAAGUUGUUUUUUUAAAUACAUAAGGCAGUUACCAAUUUUCAGUCUUUGAAUUCAUUAAUAAUUGUUAUAGGAUAGAUAUUGGAUGUUAAGAGGGUUUUUUUUUUGUUGUUGUUUUUGUUUGUUUUUCUGGCAGCACCCUUGGCAUGUGGAGAUUCCUGGAUCAGGGAUCAAACUCAUGUCAUAGCAGUGACAACGCCAGAUCCUUAACCUGCUGCACCACAAGUGAACUCCUUGAUGCUAAGUUUUAAAGAUCAAUCAGUGCCAUAUUUUUGGGUAUCAAAUUCAUUACGAGUUUUAAGUCAGUGCCACGAGAGCUUUAUUCUUCUUGUGUUUUUAAAUAUAUUUAUGAGAAUAAAUAAGUUCAGGGAUGUAAUGUACAGCAUGGUGACUAUAGUAAUAAUAGUAUACUGCAUGUUUGAAAGAUGCCAAGAGAAUAGAUCUUAAAAGCUCUCAUCACAAGAAAAAAAUUUGGUAUUUACAUGUGAUGAUGGAUGUCAAUUAGACUUGUGGUUAUUAUUUUACAAUAUAAAAAAAUACUGAAUCAUUCUGAUACCUGGAACUAAUGUUUUAUGUCAGUUAUAUCUCAAUUAAAAAUAAACAGAUUCAUAC